rnacentral:rRNA from 1 species
ACUCCUACGGGAGGCAGCAGUGGGGAAUAUUGCACAAUGGGCGCAAAGCCUGAUGCAGCCAUGCCGCGUGUAUGAAGAAGGCCUUCGGGUUGUAAAGCCACUUUUCAGUUCGUGAGGAAGGUAAGUGUAGGUUUAAAUUAAGCUGGCCAAUUUUAAUUUUGGACGGUUUAAGCGGACCNGAAAAGGAAAGGAACCCGGGCCUAACUCCGUGCCAGCAGCCGCGGUAAUACGGAGGGUGCGAGCGUUAAUCGGAAUUACUGGGCGUAAAGCGCAUGCAGGUGGUUUGUUAAGUCAGAUGUGAAAGCCCGGGG